UGGCUGCAGUGGGGAAUAUUGGACAAUGGGCGAAAGCCUGAUCCAGCCAUGCCGCGUGGGUGAAGAAGGCCCUAGGGUUGUAAACCCCUUUCAGCGGGGAAGAUAAUGACGGUACCCGCAGAAGAAGCCCCGGCUAACUCCGUGCCAGCAGCCGCGGUAAUACGGAGGGGGCUAGCGUUGUUCGGAAUUACUGGGCGUAAAGCGCGCGUAGGCGGACUUUCAAGUCAGGGGUGAAAUCCCGAGGCUCAACCUCGGAACUGCCUUUGAUACUGUAAGUCUUGAGUCCGAGAGAGGUGAGUGGAAUUCCUAGUGUAGAGGUGAAAUUCGUAGAUAUUAGGAAGAACACCAGUGGCGAAGGCGGCUCACUGGCUCGGUACUGACGCUGAGGCGCGAAAGCGUGGGGAGCAAACAGGAUUAGAUACCCUUGUAGUC
rnacentral:rRNA from 1 species